rnacentral:misc_RNA from 1 species
AACGGUCUAUACCUGCGGUACCUGCGGAGGGAUCAUUAUUGAAUUAUGUUUCUGAAUGGGUCGUAGCUGGCUCGUCAGAGCAUGUGCACGCCUGUUUGGACUUCAUUUUCAUCCACCUGUGCACCUAUUGUAGUCUUUGGUUUGGGUAUCGAGGAAACGGUCAGUCUUAUCAGCACUUGCUGGAUGUGAGGGCUUGCAGUGUGAAAGCUCUGCUGUCCUUUACUUGAUCGCGGAGUCAUU